GAAUUCGCCCUUAGAGUUUGAUCCUGGCUCAGGAUGAACGCUGGCGGCGUGCUUAACACAUGCAAGUCGAACGAUGACUUUUGUGCUUGCACAAAAUGAUUAGUGGCGAACGGGUGAGUAACACGUGAGUAACCUGCCCUUAACUUCGGGAUAAGCCUGGGAAACCGGGUCUAAUACCGGAUACGACGGAUUCCCGCAUGGGGGUCCGUGGAAAGCUUGAUGCGGUUUUGGAUGGACUCGCGGCCUAUCAGCUAGUUGGUUGGGGUAAUGGCCCACCAAGGCGACGACGGGUAGCCGGCCUGAGAGGGUGACCGGCCACACUGGGACUGAGACACGGCCCAGACUCCUACGGGAGGCAGCAGUGGGGAAUAUUGCACAAUGGGCGAAAGCCUAAUGCAGCGACGCCGCGUGAGGGACGAAGGCCUUCGGGUUGUAAACCUCUUUCAGCAGGGAAGAAGCGAAAGUGACGGUACCUGCAGAAGAAGCGCCGGCUAACUACGUGCCAGCAGCCGCGGUAAUACGUAGGUGGCAAGCGUUAUCCGGAAUUAUUGGGCGUAAAGCGCGCGCAGGUGGUUCCUUAAGUCUGAUGUGAAAGCCCCCGGCUCAACCGGGGAGGGUCAUUGGAAACUGGGGAACUUGAGUGUAGAAGAGGAAAGUGGAAUUCCACGUGUAGCGGUGAAAUGCGUAGAGAUGUGGAGGAACACCAGUGGCGAAGGCGACUUUCUGGUCUAUAACUGACACUGAGGCGCGAAAGCGUGGGGAGCAAACAGGAUUAGAUACCCUGGUAGUCCACGCCGUAAACGAUGAGUGCUAAGUGUUAGAGGGUUUCCGCCCUUUAGUGCUGCAGCUAACGCAUUAAGCACUCCGCCUGGGGAGUACGGCCGCAAGGCUGAAACUCAAAGGAAUUGACGGGAGCCCGCACAAGCAGUGGAGUAUGUGGUUUAAUUCGACGCAACGCGAAGAACCUUACCAGGACUUGACAUCCUAGGAACCCGGCGUAAUGGCUGGGGUGCCCUUCGGGGAAUCUAGAGACAGGUGGUGCAUGGUUGUCGUCAGCUCGUGUCGUGAGAUGUUGGGUUAAGUCCCGCAACGAGCGCAACCCUUAUGUUCAGUUGCUACGCAAGAGCACUCUGGACAGACUGCCGUUGACAAAACGGAGGAAGGCGGGGACGACGUCAAAUCAUCAUGCCCCUUACGUUCUGGGCUACACACGCACUACAAUGGCGUUUAACAGAGGGGAGCAAAGCCGCGAGGCAGAGCAAAUCCCAAAAAAACGUCCCAGUUCAGACUGCAGGCUGCAACUCGCCUGCACGAAGUUGGAAUUGCUAGUAAUCGCAGGUCAGCAUACUGCGGUGAAUACGUUCCCGGGCUUUGCACUCACCGCCCGUCA
rnacentral:rRNA from 1 species